rnacentral:rRNA from 1 species
GGAUGAACGCUGGCGGCGGCUUAACACAUGCAAGUCGAACGUGAAGCCCGGUACCUAGUAUUGGGUGGAAAGUGGCGAACGGGUGAGUAACACGUUGGUGACCUGCCCUGAGGAGGGGAAUAACCGUGGGAAACCACGGCUAAUACCCCGGAUGUCUAAGCUGUUAGAGGGCUUAGACUAAAGCCCCUGCAAGGGGUGCGCCUCGGGAGGGGCCUGCGGGCUAUCAGCUUGUUGGUGGGGUAAUGGCUUACCAAGGCGAAGACGGCUAGGGGGCGUGAGAGCGCGACCCCCCACAAUGGAACUGAGACACGGUCCAUACUCCUACGGGAGGCAGCAGUGAGGAAUAUUGCGCAAUGGGGGCAACCCUGACGCAGCAACGCCGCGUGGACGAUGAAGGCCUUCGGGUCGUAAAGUCCUUUCCUGAAGGAAGAUAGUGACGGUACUUCAGGAAUAAGUCCCGGCUAACUACGUGCCAGCAGCCGCGGUAAAACGUAGGGGGCGAGCGUUAUCCGGAUUUACUGGGCGUAAAGCGCACGUAGGCGGCAUCGUAAGUUGGACGUGAAAGCUCCCGGCUCAACUGGGAGAGGUCGUUCAAAACUGUGGUGCUUGAGGUUGAUAGAGGAGAGUGGAAUUCCCGGUGUAGUGGUGGAAUGCGUAGAUAUCGGGAGGAACACCAGUGGCGAAGGCGGCUCUCUAGGUCACACCUGACGCUGAGGUGCGAAAGCGUGGGGAGCGAACGGGAUUAGAUACCCCGGUAGUCCACGCUGUAAACGAUGGAUACUAGGUGUGGGAGGUUAUUUACCCCUUCUGUGCCGUAGCUAACGCGUUAAGUAUCCCGCCUGGGGACUACGCCCGCAGAGGUUAACACUCAAAAGAAAUAGACGGGGGCCCGCACAAGCAGCGGAGCGUGUGGUUGAAUUCGAGUGAUACGCGAAGCACCUGACGUGCGCAAGACAUGGUGAUAAUAGUGAAGAGAAAGCGGCGAGACCAUUCGGGGGCGCACAUCACAGGCGCCACAUGACUGUCGUCAGCUCAGGUCGAGAAAUAUUGGUUUAAGUCCCGCAACGAGCGCAACCCUCGUCGCUAGUUAUAUGUGUCUAGUGAGACUGCCGGUAUCAAACCGGAGGAAGGUGGGG